CCUCUCAUAAUAGUGAGCCGCCCCUGUUUCUGCUAAAACCCUAAACCCUAACUCGUUUAGCCGGAAGACUCAAUUGGUGAUUGGAGCUUUGAAAUUUUUUUCAGAUCUUCUUCUGUCCUGUAAUGGCGUCUUCGUGCAACAGAUUUGUUAGCAGAGCAUCGCUAUCGGCUGUCAAAUCCGCUAUUAGAGCAAACGGUCGAACAGCUUCAGUCAAUAGAUCUGCCACUCCGACAUCUUCACCAUUCCCUCUUCCAAGCAGAUCCACUGUAUCUCCUCUCCGUCGAUUCUCUUCAUCCAGGACUAGAGGGGAACUCGGAUGCAUUCAGUCUCUGUUGCCACUCCACAGUGCAGUUGCAGCAGCAAGAAUGACAUCAUGUCUGAGCUCGACAUCAAGGAGUUGCAAAGCUCUUUCUCAGGGUACACUCUGCCGUACCUCUCCCGGCCUCUAGUAGUGUUAUUUUAUUUUUUAGAGUGCACAUGAGUUCCCCAUUGCUUGAAAGAAAUAAACUGGGAUUUUACAGGACCUGCCAAUUAAGCGUCAAUAUCAAAUGGAAUUGAUGGUACGUGAGACAUGCCUGGAGAGCUUGGUCUGUCAGUUCCGAGGUGACUUUGACCAUUGCGUGAAGGAAAGUUAAUCCUGCUGUGAUUGGAAAUGCAAGGUUUUGUAGUUCUUCCUGACAGAUUUCUCCCAGUUUAUAGAAACUGCUCGAAUCCUAAGAGGCAGUAAACCUGAUUUUUGAUUA